rnacentral:rRNA from 1 species
AACGAACGCUAGCGGCAUGCCUAACACAUGCAAGUCGAACGAGAUCUUCGGGUCUAGUGGCGCACGGGUGCGUAACGCGUGGGAAUCUGCCCUUUGGUUCGGAAUAACAGUUGGAAACGACUGCUAAUACCGGAUGAUGACGAAAGUCCAAAGAUUUAUCGCCAGAGGAUGAGCCCGCGUAGGAUUAGCUAGUUGGUGUGGUAAAGGCGCACCAAGGCGACGAUCCUUAGCUGGUCUGAGAGGAUGAUCAGCCACACUGGGACUGAGACACGGCCCAGACUCCUACGGGAGGCAGCAGUGGGGAAGAUUGGACAAUGGGCGAAAGCCUGAUCCAGCAAUGCCGCGUGAGUGAUGAAGGCCUUAGGGUUGUAAAGCUCUUUUACCCGGGAUGAUAAUGGCAGUACCGGGAGAAUAAGCUCCGGCUAACUCCGUGCCAGCCGCCGCCGUAA